rnacentral:lncRNA from 1 species
GUGUGUUUCCCAGAUAUGUGUUUCAAUACCAGAAUUUCUGUUUGGUCUUUUUUAUGGUGACCAUUUCUUUGCAGAGAUUUCCUAUUUGUUCGUUCAUUAGAAGAACAUUUUAAAUUUAUAUCCUUCAUCUUCUUUGAGUUUUGUGUGCUAAAUCCAUCAUCAGGGUUAUUUCAGAGUCAAUUUGCAUUGUCACAUUUUCUUUUUUCCUUGUAUGUCCAAUAAUUUUAGAAAUUGUGAAUGACACAUGUAGAGGUCUGCAUCUAUUUAUUCCUCUGAAGAGUGUUGAUUCUUUUGUUAUUAUAGUUAGUUUACUUGGUUAGACUCAAAUUUUUAAGCUCUGUCAUGAUGAAAUGUCUUUUCAAUUCUUUUAGAUUUAGCUGAAAGAAAAACUUAUCUCCUUAGUGUCUGCCCUGUACAAGGUUAGUUCAGGUAUCAACUAGAGAUUUAGGUAAAUUUGUACAAAGAAAUUGGAACUCUGGCUCUCUGGAAUUAGGAUUUCUGUUGGAGUUUUAGCUUCUUCCAGCAUCAACAAAGGUAUAGUUUUUAGGUGUUCAGCUGUAAAAAAUGAGAAUCUCACUUUCUUCAAGCAUCAACACCUACUUCUUGCCUGAUUAUGGUUGCUAUCCAAUUUUUAUAUGUUGUCCGGAGUUUGUAGUUUUCUUUGAUCCGUUCAGUACAAUAGGAACUACUAAGCUAUUACCAAAAAUCAGAAUACCCCCAUCUUUUUUAUUUUUUUUAAUAAGCACUGGGGAUAGAACCCAGGGGUACUAUGCCCUUGAACUAUAUCCCCACCCCUUUUUAUUUUUAUUUUGAGGCAGAGUAUGGCUCAGGAACUUGGGGCCUGUAAUUUGUGGUUCUCUUGCCUUAGUCUCCCGAGUGGCUGGGAUUACAGGUAGGCUCUACUACACCCAGCUCCCAUCUUUAUUUUUUUGAAGAGAAAGGAUGGUUUGUUUUUUUUGUUUGUUUGUUUACCGAGGAUUGAACUUAGGGGCACUUGACACUGAGCCACAUCUCUAGCCCUAUUUUGUAUUUUAGAGAAAGAGUCUUACUGAGUUGCUUAAGUGCCUCACUUUUUGCUGAGGUAGGCUGUGAACUUGAGAUCCUUCUGCUUCAGUCUUCGAGCCCCUGGGAUUAUAGGCAUGUUCCACCACACCCAGCAGUAGAAUGGUAUUUUAAAAAACAGUGUGAGAUAGUUAUCAUCACCAUGUUUUUAUCAUAUCUUAGUGAUCAUUUCAACCACUGAAAUAAAUUAUUCAGAACUAAUUGCUAAGCAUAAGGAUAAAAGUAGCUCAAGGAUUUAGAGAAGCACCAUUUUCCUUAUACUCAUUCCCCUUAAGAAAUACCUCAGCCUUGUGUAACAUCUAAAAGUUUAAUUUCUUGUUAAGUGGGUGCUUAUCAAAUUGGAAAUAUCUUAUUGAUAAUACAUUUUGGUCACUAUUAGCCUGAUGUUGGUGAUGUGUGAGGAACAAUUAGAAGACUAGAAGGCAUUCUUAAAUUAGGCUUAAAAUUUUUUAAAAAAAUGUUUUUUUAGAUGUUGAUGGACUUUUAUUUUAUUCAUUUAUUUAUAUGUGGUGCUGAGAAUCAAACCCAGUGCCUCACACAUGCAAGACAAGCACUCUACCACCCCAGCCCUAGGCUUAAAAUUUUUAAUAAAUAAAUUUGGCAAAAUUCUUUGAGUUAUCACCAUUUCCUUUGUAUAGUUAUUUGUUUAUUUACAAAAUUUUCAUUGAGAACUAUACAUUCAAG